CUUUGAGCCUCUCCAGGAGUUCCAGGAUUCCCAAUAGAUCCUUCCUUCCAGCAGCUCCGCUCUGUUUGGGCAGUUCCAACAUCCUUGGAGUUUUAGGAUGGAAGCUGAGGCAUCUGAACUUCAGGAAAAGAAGAGCCAAAGCAGAGCAAAAUUGAGAGAGACUGGAAGAUUCCUGAUGAUCAUCAGAGCAAGCUCUUCUGACCUUGGCAUCUACGGAUGUUUCAUCCUUGACAUUUUCUAAGGCACUUGAAGGUCUUCCACAUAAAAUAAAGAGAAAACAGUAAUGCAUGUCUUUUACCUCAAUAGAGCUGUUUUUCAGGGGCAAGCCAAAAAGAUGCAAGUCGUGCAGCCAGAGCAUGUGAAAGGAGAAAAUCUUGACUUGAAAUGACACCCAGAACCAAAGAUGUCCCCCCCUGCCAUGGAACCAAAGGACUGGGACUCGACUGGAACUUGAAAGUUGGACUGUCAUCAGAAGUGAGGGGUACAUUGUCUAGGAAGACCUGGUGUUAACGCCCCUUCCACACCUUACCAUGAAUGUUGAAAGCCUUCCAGUGGAACCCCGUCCCACCAGCAUUCCCGUGUACCAGCCUGUUCCCCUAACCUCAUCAAUUUUGCCCCAAACCCUGGAUCAGGGAGACAGAUGUGAGACCCUUGCCUCCUGUCUCUUCACUGGUCAAUCUUGCAAUAAAGCCUUCUCUUUUCUCAAAAGCCAGUGGCAUAACUAUCGGUUUUUUAUGUGCAUCAGGCAGAGAACCCCCUUCUGGUGCAGUGACAUCUUUUCAUGUCUCUUAUUGGCCAUUCUUGUAUCCUCAUUUGUGAAGUAUGUCUCCAAGAUUUUGGCAAUCUUUACUUGGAUUGCUUGUCUUUUGAUAUAUAAAAGUUCUUUCUAUAAUUUG